rnacentral:tRNA from 1 species
GGUGAAGUGGGUGAGUGGCUGAAACCAGUUCCCUGCUAAGGAACCAUACGUGAUUAAGCGUAUCGAGGGUUCGAAUCCCUCCUUCACCGCCA